GCAACCUAAGCAGAGCAGCCCAGACUUCUCUCUCCCUGGCCACCUCCACCAGCAAUUCCAUGGGAAUACUGAAGCGUUCCCAGGCCAGCCGAGCAGAAGAAACACCCUGCAGUCUUGGAGAUGGGGUCUGCAUCCAGCAGUGGCAUGAGUCAAACACACCAAGAUCAAGACCAUCCAUCAACAUCAACCAAGUGGUCCUCAACCAAUACAAAUCAAAUGGCUCUGACAGAUAGCAUUGUUAGUCUGAUUUCCAAUGGCCUCCUCCCCCUCUCUACAGUUGAGCAUAAGGACUUCAUUGGCAUGUUCCAGCUUGCACAACCAGCAUUUACAGUGCCUACCUGAAGAGCUCUCAGAGACAGCCUCAUACCACAGCGUACACAAUCUGUGAAAGACCAUCUCACAAAUGCCAUGACAAAUGCUGGCCAUAUUUGCCUAACAAUUGAUUUAUGGUCCAACAGAUCAAUGAGGUCAUUUUUAGAAAUGACAGGCCAUUUCUUUCAUGAUUACAACCUGCAAAGUGUUUGUGCUGAGCUGUCAGCGAUUUAAAGGUAGGCACACUGCAGAAAAUAUUUGUCAGGUUUAUGAUCAAGUACUGCGCAGUUUCAACAUUCAGAGCAAAGUGUCUUUCAUCAUAACGGACAAUGCGUCCAACAUGGCCUUCAGUCUUUUUCCACCAGUGCAUGUGAGUGACAGUGAGAGUGAUGGAGAAGAUGAGGAGGAUGAUGAUGCCAGUGUAGAGGUGGUCAAUGUAGAAGAGGAAAUGAUGUACUUUCCACCUGAGAGACUACCAUGUUUUACCCACACUCUCCAAUUGGUACUGCGCGAUGCUUUGGAUGAUGCUGCCUCCAUAAAAAGCCUCCUAGGAAAGGUUCAGAAGUUUGUUGCAUUUUGCCACAAAUCCACUCAUGCUGCAGAGACCCUGGAGGGAAUGCACAAACUUCAACCUGCCAAUGCCACAUGCUGGAAUAGCCAGUUGAAGAUGCUUAGGUCAGUUCUUAAAGUUCCAAAUGAUGUCUUUGCUGAGCUCCACUGCCCAAUUCAGCUAUCACCAUACGAACUUAAAAUCAUUGAGGAACUCUGUGAGGUUUUAGAACCCUUUGAGGAGGUCACAGACCGCUGUUAGGCAGAGAAAGCUGUAACAUCAAGCUAUGUUAUUCCUUGUGUGAGAGGACUGAGACAUGCCAUUAAAGAUGCCAAAAUGACUGGGAACAAGAAAUUUCUGUCCACCUUACAAACCGCACUCGAGAGGUGACUUGGAAAAUAUGAAGAUAUGGAGUGCUUCCAGAUGGCUGCAACUCUUGAUCCAAGAUUCAAGCUAGACUGGUGUAACGGUGAAGAACAGAACACAAUCAGAAACCUCCUCGCUGCAAAAGUUGAUUCUGUACUUCCAAAAGCCACUUCUGACAUGAAUACCCAACCACGCAAACGCCCCAGACUCUUUUCCUACAUGGAUACCCAAACAACUUCUGUGCCAAUUGAUGCAUCCUCACAUGAGCUCCCAGUUUACUUGAGUGCCGCAUGUUUGGCAGAGGGUACCAACCCUUUGUUGUUCUGGAAAGAAAACCAAAAUUGUUUCCCAAACCUUGCUGUACUUGCAUGCAAAUAUCUGGCCAUACCUGCUUCCUCUGCACCUGUUGAGAGGAUAUUUAGUGUUGGUGGAAAGAUAUUCCGACCAGAGUGAUGCCGCCUCAAUGAUAAAACGUUUGAAGAGCUGAUGAUCAUUAAAUGCAACAGUUACCCCAUGAAAUAUAAUUAUUCCAAUCUGGAAGAAAAACACAUGCUAAGUAUCACAUUCUCACUGAUAUGUGGUUAGAAUGAAUUUCUCUGAAUUGCAAUGAAUUUAAAAUUCCACUUCCUGUAAUUCCAAUUCACAUUCAAUUCCAUAUCCUCUGGGGGUGGAGCCAAUUCAAAUUCAAUUCAAAUUCACUUCCUGAAUUGAAUUAAAUUCUGAAUUUUGCACAAG